GACGAACGCUGGCGGCGUGCCUAAUACAUGCAAGUCGAACGCAGUGGGGACGGGUGAGUAACACGUGGGUAACCUCCCAUCAGAGGGGAUAACACUUGGAAACAGGUGCUAAACCGAUACUGAUGGAUGGCCCCGCGGUGCAUUAGCUAGUUGGUGUGGUAACGGCUCACCAAGGCCACGAUGCAUAGCCGACCGUGAGGGGGGAUCGGCCACACGUGGAUGGAGACACGUCCAAGAUUCCGACGGGAGGCAGCAGUAGGGAAUCUUCGGCAAUGGACGAAAGUCUGACCGAGCAACGCCGCGUGAGUGAAGAAGGUUUUCGGAUCGUAAAACGCUGUUGUUAGAGAAGCGGUAUCUAACCAGAAAGCCACGGCUAACUACGUGCCAGCAGCCGCGGUAAUAC
rnacentral:rRNA from 1 species